UACGUAGGGGGCAAGCGUUGUCCGGAAUCACUGGGCGUAAAGGGCGCGUAGGCGGCGCGGAUAGUCGGCGGUGAAAGCCCGGAGCUCAACUCCGGGUCGGCCGUCGAUACUUCCGGGCUUGAGCACUGUAGAGGCAGAUGGAAUUCCGGGUGUAGCGGUGGAAUGCGUAGAGAUCCGGAAGAACACCGGUGGCGAAGGCGGUCUGCUGGGCAGUUGCUGACGCUGAUGCGCGACAGCGUGGGGAGCAAACAGG
rnacentral:rRNA from 1 species